AGCAGUCGCCGCGGGAAUACGUAGGGUGCAAGCGUUAAUCGGAAUUACUGGGCGUAAAGCGUGCGCAGGCGGUUCGUUAAGACAGAUGUGAAAUCCCCGGGCUUAACCUGGGAACUGCAUUUGUAACUGGCGGGCUAGAGUAUGGCAGAGGGGGGUAGAAUUCCACGUGUAGCAGUGAAAUGCGUAGAGAUGUGGAGGAACACCGAUGGCGAAGGCAGCCCCCUGGGCCAAUACUGACGCUCAUGCACGAAAGCGUGGGGAGCAAACAGGAUCAGAUACCCCCGUAGUCCCUGUCUCUUAUAC
rnacentral:rRNA from 1 species